CUGCAAAUAAUUGGGGUCUCAUUGUAUCACUUGCUUGAAGACUGCUCAUAGUAAAGUCUAGGUCAUGAAACCUGGGAGAUGGUUCUUUAUCCUCUGUCACCUUGGUCAAAUGCUGCUGGUGACUUGGAGGCUUUCACUGUUACUACAUGGAGAGUUUGCAACUGAAACGAACCCCAAAUGUUUGGAGACUUACGCACAGAGAUGCAAUGUGUUUCCCUUCUAUGUGGUAACGGUCAAUGGAAGGUCUGGAUUUGCAAAUAUCUUWUUUUUUUUCAGGGGGCCUAAUACAAGGAAGAGCAUCUUCUGUAGUGGAGAAGCAGCCAGAAGGCCUAAGAAGAUCCCUAGCGAACUGCAGCCUGCUGGAAAGCUUCUCGCAGCUCCCUCCUCAAGGGGAGGAAAGGAUGUUUUGUGGCUAAAAAGGGGCAGGAGAUCAGAAGAUCUGCGUAUACUCUGCCUAACGCAAACUGAGUAG
rnacentral:lncRNA from 1 species